UACGGAGGGUGCAAGCGUUAUCCGGAUUCACUGGGUUUAAAGGGUGCGUAGGUGGGUUGGUAAGUCAGUGGUGAAAUCUCCGUGCUUAACAUGGAAACUGCCAUUGAUACUACUGAUCUUGAAUUUUCAGGAGGUAAGCGGAAUAUGUCAUGUAGCGGUGAAAUGCUUGGAUAUGACAUAGAACACCAAUUGCGAAGGCAGCUUACUACAGGAAUAUUGACACUGAUGCACGAAAGCGUGGGGAUCAAACAGG
rnacentral:rRNA from 1 species